ACAUUAGCCAUGGAAAACUGCAAAUGUGCGCUCAAUAACAUUGCUGCCCUGAAUUUAUCAGGCGCUAUCGACAAAGGUCAGUGGGGAAAAGUUGGACUACUUUCAGGAGGACGAUUCUUAUGGCAUUGCACACGGUCAGUGUGAACUAGAGUGACUUGACACAAUGAGCCAAGCAAGCUGUAUAAACAAAACAGAAAGGAUACAGGACCUCUUAUUUGAUGAAAGUGGUUGCAGUCUGUCGUGAAGCGUUCAUCCAUGUAUAUGGUAGAGCACAUCUGACUAUCCUCCACCAGUCAUACAAGGAGAAUGGUCUAAUUGCCUCCCAUCAAAAAGAGAGCUUACACUUGAAACAUGAGGACUUGUGAACUUCAACAACUACGCAAAUCUCGUGACAAAAACAGUGGUGUGACGUCUCUACAAGGAAUCGAUGACAACACUUGAGGUACGCAUACUUGGGCUGUCUUCCUUCAGGAAUCUGUGGCGAAAAUUGCUGCUCCACAUCUCAAGCACUUAAAUUUUUACCUUUACUUAGCCAGGCAAGUCAGG